rnacentral:tRNA from 1 species
GGAUCCUUAGCUCAGCCUGGUAGAGCAUCCGGCUCUUAACCGGAAGGUCGGGGGUUCGAAGCCCCCAGGAUUCA